rnacentral:rRNA from 1 species
AUGGCAAGCGAGUCGAGCAGGCCGAGCGUGAGGGCCGACGCCGCCCUGGGGGACGGCACCGACGAGCGGUGGUCGGUGCUCUACGCGGCUGAUCUGGGGACCGCGCGUCGGAUCUCGUUACACGAUGGCGUGGUCUGGCUCAGGAAGGACGCGCUCCGGCUCGUGCUUCUCGACGAGUAUGGCGUCACGAUCGAUGCGAGAUACCUUCGUGUCGGGUAUUCGAUUGACAUCGGCGAGUUUGUCUCCUUCCCAUGUCAUUUUGCUAGGGUUCGGGACAGGGCUCCGGUGAUCGCCGUGGUGGUCGAUCCCCGGCACGUCCCAUUGUUUCGGGCAAUUGACUCGGUCGAUGCGGUGCAUGGUAACGUGGAGGUGGUGCGGCGCGUUGCACGGUCACGUCCGCCGCCCCUGUUCGAUGGGGCAGGCCUGUUAGGGCGUGGCCCGGCUCAGCGCACGGUUGAUGCUCGCCACGUGGUGGAGGUUGGAUCCGACCGCCAUGGAUCGUGCGAGCCUAGGGUUUCGUCGGGCGCCGCUGGUAUAAAUCGCGCACCCGAGCCCUCGCCCCCCAUUUGGACCUUGACGAGUGUCUUGCCCAUUUCUGGGACGCGCCGCGAGAGACUAGAUCUAGGGUUCCUCAAUCCUUUUUGUGGUGGGAGGGGAAAAUCCAUGGUGAUUGUAGAUCAUUUGCGCAGGUAG